rnacentral:rRNA from 1 species
AGUGAACGCUGGCGGUAGGCCUAACACAUGUAAGUCGAACGGCAGCACAGUAAGAGCUUGCUCUUACGGGUGGCGAGUGGCGGACGGGUGAGGAAUACAUCGGAAUCUACUUUUUCGUGGGGGAUAACGUAGGGAAACUUACGCUAAUACCGCAUACGACCUACGGGUGAAAGCAGGGGAUCUUCGGACCUUGCGCGACUGAAUGAGCCGAUGUCGGAUUAGCUAGUUGGCGGGGUAAAGGCCCACCAAGGCGACGACCCGUAGCUGGUCUGAGAGGAUGAUCAGCCACACUGGAACUGAGACACGGCCCAGACUCCUACGGGAGGCAGCAGUGGGGAAUAUUAGACGAUGGGGGCAAGCCUGAUCCAGCCAUACCGCGUGGGUGAAGAAGGCCUUCGGGUUGGAAAGCCCUUUUGUUGGGAAAGAAAAGCAGCAGGUUAAUACCCCGCUGUUCUGACGGUACCCAAAGAAUAAGCACCGGCUAACUUCGUG